rnacentral:rRNA from 1 species
GAUGAACGCUGGCGGCGUGCCUAACACAUGCAAGUCGAACGGAGAUUACGGACGGAAGUUUUCGGAUGGAAGACUGUAAUUCUUAGUGGCGGACGGGUGAGUAACGCGUGGGCAACCUGCCCUAUACAGGGGGAUAGCAGCUGGAAACGGCUGGUAAGACCGCAUACGUCGGCGAGACCGCAUGGUUUUGCCGGGAAAUGAGCAAUCAGGUAUAGGAUGGGCCCGCGUCCGAUUAGCCAGUUGGCAGGGUAAAAGCCUACCAAAGCAACGAUCGGUAGCCGGACUGAGAGGUCGGACGGCCACAUUGGGACUGAGACACGGCCCAAACUACUACGGGAGGCAGCAGUGGGGGAUAUUGCACAAUGGAGGAAACUCUGAUGCAGCGACGCCGCGUGAGUGAAGAAGUAUUUCGGUAUGUAAAGCUCUAUCAGCAGGGAAGAUGAUGACGGUACCUGACUAAGAAGCCCCGGCUAACUACGUG